CCGAGACCCGAGGCCCGCGGGGACUUGGCAGGGACCAGCGCCGCCUCCUGGCCACUCACGAGAGCAGCGUCCGGGGACCCCGCUCCCGGAAUCCCCAGCGCCACCCGGCACCCGGCACCCGAAGGGGCCGCGACCCUACGCCUCGCGCCCGGUCGUACGAAUGUGCCCAGGGAUGGCGGCAGCGAGGGGCAUUUCUGCGGCCAGGAUCCCUCUAGUUGUGUGUCGCCGUGAGCUUGGGGUCGGAGGUGGGGGGUUGGCCCUCGCCAGGACAGCGCCACCUGUGUGGCAGCCGCUCUCCACUGGGGUCCUAGCAGCCUGGGACUACAUAGUGAGAAAAAAAGGGAAUUUACCUUGAUGAGUGAAAGCUACAGUCUUAAUCUGAUUCCAAUAAUCCCCCAGGAAGGCUCACUUCCCUCUGCUGGGCCGUCUACUGGCGCUGAGCCCAGGCUGCUGCAUCCAGGCUGCUGCUCUGCCUUCUGAGAAUGGAAAGGCUCUCCAGAAUGUGUGGUUGUGACCGGUGCUCAGGCGACCGAGCCCAGGCUGCGGCCCUGGAGCUGCUGGAGAGUGCUGCAGACGCCUUCAUACCCAUGGCCGUGUAUUCUAUAAA